GACGGAGGGGGCUAGCGUUGUUCGGAAUUACUGGGCGUAAAGAGCGCGUAGGCGGAUUAAUAAGUUGGAAGUGAAAGCCCAAGGCUUAACCUUGGAACUGCUUUCAAAACUGUUAGUCUAGAGUGAAGUAGGGGGUGAUGGAAUUCCUAGUGUAGAGGUGAAAUUCUUAGAUAUUAGGAGGAACACCGGUGGCGAAGGCGGUCACCUGGGCUUCAACUGACGCUGUGGCGCGAAAGCGUGGGGAGCAAAC
rnacentral:rRNA from 1 species